rnacentral:lncRNA from 1 species
GCGUGACGUGAGUGUUAGACACUAGCGUCAUAGCCCUAUAUGAAAACUACUUUCUUUUCUGGUUUAUUUAGGUUUUCAUAUAGGGAGUCCACACGUAUAUAAAUACAUCGUCCUCUUCGGUCAUAAUGAGGAAAAAUACCAUUAUGGCGCAACGUGAGCGUUAGACGCCAGCGUUAUAACCUUGUAUGAAUUUCUAUUUUUCUAAAUUAUUUCUAGGAUUCAUACAAGGAGUCUGACGAGUGUACAUACAUACGAAUAUAUGAUUAUAUAUAAUUUAGCCUGAGAGCUAGGCUCCAUUUUGUUUGAGUUGGUGACUAGCCGGAGCUAGUCGUGAAAUUGCCAGUUUAUGAGUUGAGCGCUUUUGAGCUGCCGCAUGCAGUAUAUUUUCUUUGGAAAUUAAAAUGGGGAAGCAUAAAUAUUUUUAUUAAUUUAUUUUUGUCCACUCACCUUAACGUUAUUAAAUGUUUUUCCCUGGACCCUUCGUUUUAAAAUGCCCAGUCUGCAGAGUACGGGUUGGACCUAGUAGGAGACGAGGCAUAGUCACCCGCAUUUCCACCACCUUUCAUCCGUAGGUUACCUGUUUAACCUACCGGUGUUUUCUUACUUCCGCUAGUGUCUAGUAGCUCUGAAUACUUGGGUUUAAUGUAUAUUAUUUCGGUUGUGGGCGAAGGCUUGUUGACAUUUUAGAAUAUUUGUCAGAGGAUUUAUGUUAUCUUAUUUGGAUAAUUAUGUUUUGAUGUUUGGAUGAUGUUGUGUCGUUGUUAUUGGUGGUGGUUGUGUUUGGGGAGCACGUAGGCUCCAGAAGUUAAGGUUGGUUUGGGAAUUAUAGGAGUGUUUGCAGGUUUCUUAAGGAAGGGUUGUCCAUUUUCAAGGGAGGUCGUGCCGAAUUUUCGGUAAUAUUUUCCUUGGAGGUGGUCCCUUCAUGACUUACUCCGGGUUUCAGGGUGAAAUUCGGGGUGGGUCGUGUCAGUUGGUAUCAGAGCUUUAGGUUUCCUUUUCCUGUUUCCUUGUCACUAUCAUAUUUGCCUAAGUAGCACGUAGUGUCUAUAGAGUGAUGAUUCGACCGCGGCGGAUUCAUUGGUAUUUUAUGCUUUUGAUGCUAUGUGUUAUUGGCUAUGUGUGAUAGUUGUGUUAGUCUUGUUUAUGGACUACUAAAUAUCUUCUUCCUCAGGUACUAUGCCUCAUACGCGCCCACGGCAACCCCGUGUGGCUACUUCGACCAAUGCCGAUGAGGGCAAUGAGGUCAGGGGACUGGUUGAUGAUAUUGGAAAUAUGCUGAGGGAUGUCAUGGAUCGAGCUCCACACCCUCAUACGGUGAAAAGGAGAGAAGUUUAUGAUGUUGGAGCCAGAGAGUUCAAGGGUGCCAAGGGACCCUUUGAUGCUCACAAUUGGGUGGACAAGAUGGAAAAUGCUUUUGCAAUCACUGAGUUGCCAAAAGAAAGAAAGGUAAAGAUGGCAGUGACUUUUCUGGAUGAUUCAGCACAUUACUGGUGGUUGCUUGCCAGCAGGAAUGUUGAGGAUGCUCUGAAUAUGUCGUGGGAGCAGUUUAAGACUCUCUUCUUGGGGCAGUAUUUCAAUCAUGUCCACCGCAGCAGAAUUCAGUCGGAUUUCCUGCAUAUGUCGAAGAGGAAUGAUGAGGGUAUCAUAGAGUUCCAGGAAAGAUUCACUUCCCUGAGCUACCAUGUGUCAUAUUUAAUUCUUGAUGAGGAGACCAGGAUUGAGAUGUUCAUUGGGGCACUUGGUGGGGUGUAUGCAGACAAGAUGACAGAGGUAAUUUACCCGACCUUUACGGAUGCAAUUGGUGCAGCCAUGGCCAUUGAGUCCAGGGGGAGAUAUGGUGCUCGGCCCCGUGAUUACAGUGGCCCUAGUCAGGGUCCAUCCAAGAAGGCUGCUUCAUCAUCCACUUCUGGGUCUUCUGCUGGUAGUGGCAGUAGUGGGGGAUCGAGCUCUGGUCCUUGAAAUAGGAAUAAAGGACGUUUCAAGAGACCUUCUCGGAGUCAUUUGGGUAGGCAGCAGUCUGGGCAGUAUGGUUCGGGUGGCAGUUUCUAGGGCGGGUCAUCCGGUAGCCAGACUUUUUCUUAUGGGCAGCAGCAAUUUUCUGGGUGCUUUGAGUGUGGCGGUCAGGACCACUUCAGGAGAGAUUGCCCAUUGUUGGCUCAGAGGACCACCCCCACCCCUACUCAGCCAGUUGGUCAGUCUUCAGCUAGGGGCUCUAGUAGUGGUGCCCAGGGCAGUGCUUCGGCCAGAGGUGGCUCUCAGUGAGGUGGUGGUCAGCGUGGACGUCCCAUGACUCGCGCUAGACUGCAUGCUAUGACCUAGCAGGAGGGUCGUACUUCUCCAUAUGUCAUCAUUGGUACGUUAUUAAUUUUUGGUCAGCCUGCAUUUACUUUAAUUGAUCUCGGAGCCACACAUUCAUUCAUGUCUAGUAGAUUUGCCCUCCAUGCCAAUGUGCCAUCAUCGUCUCUUCCAGGCGAGUGGCAUGUGUCUCUACCCUCCGGUGAGGUGAUGAGAAUAAAUUGGGUGUUUAAUGGUUGUGAAGUGUUAGUGGAAGGAUUUAAUUUGAAGGCCGAUUUAAUUCCUUUAGAGAUAGUGGAGUUUGAUAUGAUCUUGAGAAUGGACUUUUUGGAAGCAUAUAGAGCUAUGGUAGAUUGUUUUCAAAAAGUAGUGGUGCUUCGAAGUCCAGAUGGUUUUAAGGUUGUUUUCCAAGGGGAAAGAGAUGUUAUUUCUAGUUGCAUAAUUUCCGCUGUUGCUGCAAGAAAAUUGUUGAGUAAAGGCUGUCAGGCAUGUUUAGCUCACGUGGUGGAUGCAAGUAUGAGAGUUGUGGGAAUAGAAGAUAUUCUAGGAGUAAGGGAGUUUCCGGAUGUUUUUCCUGAGGAGUUGCCUGGUUUGCCUCCUGCAAGGGAGAUAGACUUCUCUAUAGAAUUACUUCCCGGAACUAUGCUUAUCUCUCAGGCACCUUACAGAAUGGCUCCAGCGGAAUUGAAAGAGUUGAAGACUCAAUUGCAGGAGUUGGUAGACAAGGGUUUUAUUCGCCGUAGCAUGUCUCCUUGGGGUGCUCCGGUGUUGUUUGUUAAGAAGAAAGAUGGCACCAUGAGACUAUGCAUUGACUAUAGGAAGUUGAAUCAGGUCACAGUGAAGAAUAAAUAUCUGUUGUCUUGGAUCGAUGAUUUAUUUGAUCAGUUGAGGGGUGCCUCUGUUUUCCCUAAGAUCGAUUUGAGAUCGGGUUAUCAUCAGUUGCGGAUCUGAGAGGGGGACAUAGCCAAGACUGCUUUUCAGUCACAAUAUGGUCAUUAUGAGUUUGUGGUGAUGCCAUUUGAACUUACUAAUGCACCCGCGGCGUUCAUGGAUCUCAUGAAUAGGGUGUUUAGUCCAUAUCUUGAUCGUUUCGUGAUCGUAUUCAUAGAUGACAUUUUGGUUUACUCAAGAAGUGAGAAGGAGCAUGCCAAGCAUCUAAGAAUAAUAUUGCGGACUUUGGAAAAUUCGCAGUUAUAUGCUAAGUUUAGCAAGUGUGAGUUUUGGCUAGAUAAAGUGGGGUUCUUGGGUCAUGUGGUUUCGGCAGAAGGAGUUAGUGUGGAUCCCCAAAAGGUGGAAGCAGUGUCAAAUUGGAGAAGACCCACCACUGUGACGGAGAUUCGUAGUUUCUUGGGAUUGGCAGGUUAUUAUCGGCGUUUUGUGAAAGAUUUUUCAAAGAUUGCUGCUCCUCUUACAAGAUUGACCAAGAAGGGGGUUAAGUUUGAAUGGUCAGAUCAAUGUGAGCAAAGUUUUCAAGAAUUGAAGAAUUGCUUGACAAGUGCUCCUGUUUUGGCACUUCCGGAUGAUAGUGGAGAGUAUGUGGUUUAUUGUGAUGCUUCUAGACGUGGUCUAGGUGGAGUUUUGAUGCAGCAUGAUCGAGUUAUUGCCUACGCUUCUAGGCAAUUGAAGCCGCAUGAGGGGAAUUAUCCUACUCAUGAUCUGGAGCUUGCAGCGGUAGUUUUUGCUCUCAAGUUGUGGAGACACUAUCUUUAUGGAGCCAAGUGUCAGAUUUUUACCGAUCAUAAGAGUCUUCGGUAUAUAUUCACCCAAAGAGAGCUAAAUAUGAGACAGAGAAGGUGGAUGGAGUUAAUCAAUAAUUAUGAUUGCACUAUUGAGUAUAAUCCUGGAAAAGCUAAUGUGGUAGCUGAUGCUCUUAGUCGAAAUCCCUCCAUAUCUUUAUCUCAUAUUAAGACGGUUCGAGUUCCACUUCUUUGUGAGUUGCGAGCUACAGGGGUGGAUUUAGUAGUAGAUGAGGUUGGUGCUUUGGUAGCCAGUUUUCAUGUGAGGCCAAUUUUGGUUGAUAGAGUGCGGGAAGCACAAAAUAAUGAUCAUUCCAUAGUUCGAUUGAUAGAAAGAGCUUUGAAUGGAGCCGCAACCGAUCAUUUUUCAGUUAGAAGAGAUGAGACUCUAUUGUUUAAGAACCGGCUAUGUGUUCCAAAAAGAAAUGAAGAGUUGAAGAGUGAGAUUUUGGAGGAAGCUCAUAGUUCCGCUUAUGCUGCUCAUCCGAGUAGCACAAAAAUGUAUCGGAUUUUGAAGGAUUAUUAUUGGUGGCCAAACAUGAAAAGGGAAAUUGCAGCUUAUGUGAGUAGAUGUCUGAUUUGUCAGCAAGUAAAGGCAGAAAGGCAGAAAGGCAGAAAGGCAGAAAGGCAGAAGCCUUCUGGGUUGCUUGAGCCGUUGUCUAUUCCAGUGUGGAAGUGGGACCACAUCACCAUGGAUUUUGUUUUCAGUUUACCUUUUACCCGUGAAGGGUAUGACGGUAUUUGGGUGAUUGUGGAUCGACUCACCAAGUCUGCACAUUUCUUGCCAGUGGGAAAUAAGUAUAAAUUAGAUAAAUUGGAUAAAUUGGCGGAGCUUUAUGUGAAUGAAAUUGUGAGGCUUCAUGGACUGCCUGAAUCAAUAGUGUCAGAUCGGGAUCCUAGAUUUGCUUCUAAAUUCUGGGGACCUCUUCAGGCAGUUUUAGGUACCCAAUUACUCUUCAGCACUGCUUUUCAUCCUCAGACUGAUGGGCAGUCCGAGAGGACUAUUCAGACUUUGGAGGAUAUGUUGAGGGCUUGUGCUUUGCAGUUUAGAGGAAGUUGGGAUAAAAACCUAUCUUUGAUGGAAUUUGCCUAUAAUAAUAGCUAUCAUUCUAGCAUUGGUAUGGCUCCCUUUGAGGCACUUUAUGGAAGGCAGUGUCGCACGCCUUUGUGUUGGAAUGAAGUAGGGGAAAAAGAGCUUUGCGGUCCUGAGUUGAUUCAUGUUACAAAUGAGAAGAUUAAAGUGGUUAGAGAUAGACUCAAGGCCGCUCAAAGUAGGCAGAAUAGUUAUGCAGAUGUCCGUAGGAAAGAUCUUGAGUUUCAAGUGGGGAUUGGGUGUUCUUGAAACUAUCUCCUUGGAAAGGGGUAGUACGUUUUGGUAAGCGUGGGAAACUUAGUCCGAGGUAUAUUGGCCCUUAUGAGAUAAUUAGCCUUGCCUCCAGAGUUAUCCAGGAUACAUAAUGUGUUUCAUGUGUCCAUGCUUCGCAAGUAUAUUGCCGAUUCUUCUCAUGUGCUGCAAGAGCGGCCGAUCAGUUUGACGAAAGAUUUGUCUUAUGAAGAGGAACCGGUUCAGAUUCUUGACCGAAAUGAGCAAGUGCUCAGGAACAAGACAAUCCCACUUGUCAAGGUGCUUUGGAGAAGUCAUCAAGUAGAAGAAGCUACUUGGGAAUCAGAUGAGCAAAUGAUGCAGCAGUAUCCUUAUCUCUUCGAAUGACAGGUAUGUAAAUUUUGACGACGAAAUUUUUAUAAGGAGGGGAGAAUUGUCACAUCCCGACCCUUAAAUUUUUACCUUAUUUAUUAGCUUGGUUAUAAUAAGAAUUUUACUGUCUCCGUCAUUGAGGUAUAGAUUAAUUGGUCCCUACAAGGGUUUUGGGGGACAAUUAUUUCGGAGAUUUAUUCGUAGGAGAAAAAUAUGACGACGGUUAAAAUGGUAAAUUUUAGCUAGUAAAAAGUAAUUUUUAUUAGGGUAUUAAUUUGGGGUGUAAAUUUUUGGUGGAGUUGGGUAUAGUUAUAAGGUUGGACCGGUUGGGUGAGGCCCAAACCCAUUUCCCUCCCUUUCUUUUCUCUCUCUUUUCUUCUCCUCUUCCUCCCGAGCCUCCCCCGAGCUCCCUCUCCCCGGCGAACUUCCGGCCGUCCGCCUACCGCCUUUCGGCCACCGUUCGCAGCCGCUCCGGUCCCAAACUGUCGACCUCCGACCCAGCUAUCUCCCUGGACUGGUGAUAGCCGCCCUAGCACCGUUGUGAAGGAGUACUCUCCCCCGAAAGGGCCGACUGCCGUGGUGCUUCACUCGCCGGAGCUCCUUCCUUUGGCCACCAAAGCCGGUGAUCCUUUGCUCGUUUUGUAGCCCUCCUCCUAUGCAGCAACCUUUCCAAAUGUCUCACUCCCUCUUGAGCUAGGCAAGGAGAAAUUCAAAGUUGAAAUCCUACGGCUCUUUCGGUGUUUGUGCUAGUUAGGAAAGUUGUAGUGGGAGUGGAGAGGAAGCUUCUGUUAAAAUUUGGUAGGAAUUUGAGGUUGCCGGAAUCGGCCUCCGACCGCCGCUGUUGGCAAAACUGGCGCCGGCGCCGGCGCCGGUUGGGAGAUUUUAAUGUUUUUAAAUUUGGAAUAUUAAGGGGAGUUUAUUGAAGUGAAUUAUGGAAUUUUUGGAUGGGUUUGUGAAUUUCUAAAGUUUGGUAUUUUUGGCGGUUAAUUAAUGUAGAAUCCGACCGUAGGAUUUAAGUCAUUUUCUGGGGGAAGUUGUAAUUAGUGUUGCACGUAAGUUCGGUGAAGUUUGAGCCAUGUUGAGUUAGGAAUGGCAAAGUUGGGCAAUGAUGAGUGUGUGGGAGGCUCACGUUUAAUUUUGCCCAUUGUGUUUAAUUAUUGGAUUUUUAGUGGAAAUUAAUUAUAUAUUUGGAACAGGACGAGAGGAGGCCCGAGCAGAGGAAGCCUCGGAGCGUCAUCAGGCUUAGGCCUAAUUUGUGAGUGGACCUUUGUUUUAAAUUGAAAAGCAUGCGAUGAAUUAUCUUGUUGAUCAUUUAUUUCUUUUCCUGAGAUUUAUUUCUUUCUCAGAUAUUUGACAAUUUUCCUCCUUUGGAGAGAUCCCGAAAAUGAGAUUUUCGGUGGAUAUGUUUAAUGGAUAUUAUGAGUAUAGUAUGUAUAUAAAUGCAAGCUAGCCAUACGUGCUUAGUCCGUCAUAAUGAGGUAAAAUACCAUUAUGGCGUGACGUGAGUGUUAGACACUAGCGUCAUAGCCCUAUAUGAAAACUACUUUCUUUUUUGGUUUAUUUAGGUUUUCAUAUAGGAAGUCCACACGUAUAUAAAUACAUCGUCCUCUUCGGUCAUAAUGAGGAAAAAUACAAUUAUGGCGCAACGUGAGCGUUGGACGCCAGCGUUGUAGGCUUGUAUGAAUUUCUAUUUUUGUAAAUUGUUUCUCGGAUUCAUACAAGGAGUCUGACGAGUGUAAAUACAUACGAAUAUAUGAUUAUAUAUAAUUUAGCCUGAGAGCUAGGCUCCAUUUUAUUUGAGUUGGUGACUAGCCGGAGCUAGUCGUGAAAUUGCCAGUUUAUGAGUUGAGCGCUUUUGUGCUGCCGCAUGCAGUAUAUUUUCUUUGGAAAUUAAAAUGGGGAAGCAUAAAUAUUUUUAUUAAUUUAUUUUUGUCCACUCACUCUAACGUUAUUAAAUGUUUUCCCCUGGACCAUUCGUUUUAAAAUGCCCAGUCUGCAGAGUACGGGUUGGACCUAGUAGGAGACGAGGCAUAGUCACCCGCAUUUCCACCAAUUUUCAUCCGUAGGUUACCUGUUUAACCUAUCGGUGUUUUCUUACUUCCGCCAGUGUCUAGUAGCUCUGAAUAUUUGGGUUUAAUGUAUAUUAUUUCGGUUGUGGGCGAAGGCUUGU